rnacentral:rRNA from 1 species
GUGUCGUGAGAUGUUGGGUUAAGUCCCGCAACGAGCGCAACCCUUGUCUUUAGUUGCCAUCAUUAAGUUGGGCACUCUAGAGAGACUGCCAGGGAUAACCUGGAGGAAGGUGGGGAUGACGUCAAAUCAUCAUGCCCCUUAUGCUUAGGGCUACACACGUGCUACAAUGGGUAGUACAGAGGGUUGCCAAGCCGUAAGGUGGAGCUAAUCCCUUAAAGCUACUCUCAGUUCGGAUUGUAGGCUGAAACUCGCCUACAUGAAGCUGGAGUUACUAGUAAUCGCAGAUCAGAAUGCUGCGGUGAAUGCGUUCCCGGGUCUUGUACACACCGCCCGUCACACCACGGGAGUUGGAGACGCCCGAAGCCGAUUAUCUAACCUUUUGGAAGAAGUCGUCGAAGGUGGAAUCAAUAACUGGGGUGAAGUCGUAACAAGGUAGCCGUAUCGGAAGGUGCGGCUGGAUC